GAGUUUGAUCUUGGCUCAGAUUGAACGCUGGCGGCAUGCCUUACACAUGCAAGUCGAACGGUAACAGGUCUUUCGGGAUGCUGACGAGUGGCGAACGGGUGAGUAAUACAUCGGAACGUGCCUAGUAGUGGGGGAUAACUACUCGAAAGAGUGGCUAAUACCGCAUGAGAUCUAUGGAUGAAAGCAGGGGACCUUCGGGCCUUGUGCUACUAGAGCGGCCGAUGGCAGAUUAGGUAGUUGGUGGGAUAAAAGCUUACCAAGCCUACGAUCUGUAGCUGGUCUGAGAGGACGAUCAGCCACACUGGGACUGAGACACGGCCCAGACUCCUACGGGAGGCAGCAGUGGGGAAUUUUGGACAAUGGGCGCAAGCCUGAUCCAGCAAUGCCGCGUGCAGGAUGAAGGCC
rnacentral:rRNA from 1 species